CUACGGGCCGCUCCAGUGGGGAAUAUUGGACAAUGGGGGCAACCCUGAUCCAGCGAUGCCGCGUGGGUGAAGAAGGCCUUCGGGUUGUAAAGCCCUUUAGGCUGGGAAGAAGGUGAUGGAGUUAAUAGCUCUGUUACUUGAUGGUACCAGCAGAAUAAGCACCGGCAAACUCUGUGCCAGCAGCCGCGGUAAUACAGAGGGUGCGAGCGUUAAUCGGAUUUACUGGGCGUAAAGGGCGCGUAGGCGGUUAGAUGAGUGUGAUGUGAAAGCCCCGGGCUUAACCUGGGAAGUGCAUUGCAAACGAUCUAGCUGGAGUACAAGAGAGGGUGGCGGAAUUUCCGGUGUAGCGGUGAAAUGCGUAGAGAUCGGAAGGAACGUCAAUGGCGAAGGCAGCCACCUGGCUUGAUACUGACGCUGAGGCGCGAAAGCGUGGGGAGCGAACAGGAUUAGAUACCCUUGUAGUC
rnacentral:rRNA from 1 species